rnacentral:rRNA from 1 species
UACGUAGGGUGCAAGCGUUGUCCGGAAUUAUUGGGCGUAAAGAGCUCGUAGGCGGUCUGUCGCGUCGGCUGUGAAAACCCGGGGCUCAACCCCGAAACUGCAUUCGAUACUGCCUGGCUAGAGUACUGGAGAGGAGAUUGGAAUUACGGUGUAGCAGUGAAAUGCGUAGAUAUCGUAAGGAAGACCAGUGGCGAAGGCGGAUCUCUGGACAGUUACUGACACUGAGGCACGGAAGGCCAGGGAGCAAACGGG